ensembl:lncRNA
UUUUGAAAUACAGUUAUUCUGCAGAAUAUUUAGUUCUCUCAAUUGUUGUUUAUUCAGCUCUUUUUGCAAGUGUUUGGGAAAAACUUGUGAAUUAUGCUGAGUUUGACAGAUUCGUGAUAAUAGUCCUGUUUUUAAUCAUGUUUAUGUGCUGCAUUUGCAAAAUCAUUUAUCGUAAGUAUUUCUGUGUGAUUCAUUCCCAUCAGUCGUCAGGUACUUGAUUGCUCCUGAUAAUAAUAAUAAUAAUAAUAAUAAUAAUAAUAAUAAUAUAUAUGUGUUAAAACUCUCUCAGUCACAUGCAGAUUCACUCAGUUUAUAUGCUUUUGUUGUUGAUUUUAUUGUUUAGUGUUCUGAAACUGGAUCAGAUCAGAUCUUAAUUGUUUCUUCAUUUAGUUGCAGUUACAGAGGUCGGAAAGAGAAGUGGACAGAUAAUUGAAAUAUUUGACUUAGUGGCUGAUACGAUCUUUGAUAUUCUGCCUGCUUUACAAUUCAUCCUCCUCUUCUUCACUUUUGCAUCUGUCAGAGGAGGAUUCAUCAUUGUUGUCAUUUUACCAGUGUUACUGAUGAUGACAAAUGACAGAUGUUUUUUCAGAUGGUUUGAUAGACUCAGGUGUUCAUUUUCAGUCAUAAGAACAGUGAUGUUAAUCAUCAUGAUAGCGAUUAUUGCAGCGAUGAUCGGACUUUACAUAAUGACACUUGGAAAUAAAACUGAUGCUGCUGGAUGGGGCUGUGUGAUUGCGUUUCUGCAGAUACUCUGGAUGGUUAUGAAGUUUACAGGCUAUUAUGGCUUUAUUGCUCAGGAUUUUCCUCGUGUUGUUCCUGUCUAUGUGUUUGGAUCAGUUGGUGUUGUGUUACUGAACUCUGUUGCUCUGAUGACUGAACUGAUACUGAAAACAGUUAAUGGUGCUCGUACAGUGGGAGAUCUGAGGUCUGUUGUCUUUCCUUCUGAAUGCUUCUUUGCCUUAUCUGUGGUGAUUGCAGGAAUAUUUCCAUCUGAGGAAAGGCACAUGAGGACGAAGGUCAUCUACACAAGAGUUUAAUAGAAUCCAAGAAGAUAAUAAUCCAUGAAGGCAAAGGGAACACGCAGCAAAACAACACCGGACAAGGAAGAACUGAAAGGGAGCAAAUUAAAUAAAGACCAAACAAAGAUAAUUAACA